CUACCCAUUCCCAGCCAGGUUAGUCCUCAAUGGCCUUACAGGUGCAGAGGGCGAAAAGUCUUACCUUGUUCGCUAUGUUUAUUGUGUAUCGUCCACCAGCAGGUAGGCUCCAUGUGGACAGAGUCCUUUUUCUCAUUUGGCUGCUCCUGCCCUAGUACCCAGGUAUUCAACAAUUACUAAGUAUUCACUAAGUGAAUGAGGAUUCUGCCCUCAGUAAAUGGUUGUUGAACAAAUGAAGGAACUAUGGGCACUUUUACCUAAGCAAGUUGUCAGUGACACAUGUACUGAAACAACAGAAAGAUAUCAUCAGACCAGCAAAGUUUCAGAUGCUUUAUCCCCAGCCAACCAGCUAUCUUUUCUUCGGGGACUGCUGACAUGAGUGACUGCUAAUGUGAUAACCAGUGAGAUGAGCUACUCUGGGACAGAUGUGCAACCUAACCCCCAAGUGGAGGAGGCGGCUGCAGACGGCUGCAGCUAAGGCCAACUGAGAUGCUGAGUGGACAAACGAAAACAACAAAAAAGGCAAACAGACAGAAUCGACAGCAAGAGCACUGGACGGAGUGAAACCCCAAAGGGCAAAUCUCCUUACCAUUCGUAAAAGGAAAUUCAAAUUAAUUUUUAAAAAUUCUAUCGAUAUAAACAGAUAAGCAAAGAAUUAAGAGAAUUUGUAGAAAAUCUGAGCUAAUUCCCGGUAGGUUUUUUAAAUUGAGAAACAAUUCAUAUACCACAAAAUUCACCUUCUAAAGUAUACAAUUCGGUGAUUUUUAAUAUAUUCAUAAAGUUGCGUGAUCAUCAGCACUAUCUUAACUCCAGAACGUGAUUGCCCCUAAAGAAACCCUGUACCCAUUAGCAGCCACUAC
rnacentral:lncRNA from 10 species